rnacentral:rRNA from 1 species
GCUAAACGCGAAGAACCUUACCAGGGUUUGACAUCCUACUAAUUUCUCCGAAAGGAGAGAGUGUCUUCGGACCGUAGUGACAGGUGAUGCAUGGCCGUCGUCAGCUCGUGUCGUGAGAUGUUUGGUUAAGUCCAUCAACGAGCGCAACCCUUGUAACUAGUUGGAUUUUUCUAGUUAGACUGCCCCGGUAACGAGGAGGAAGGAGGGGAUGAUGUCAGGUCAGUAUUUCCCUUACACCCUGGGCUAGAAACACGCUACAAUGGCCGGUACAAAGGGCAGCCAAGUCGCGAGACGGAGCAAAUCCCAUCAAAGCCGGUCUCAGUUCGGAUAGGAGGCUGAAACUCGCCUCCUUGAAGUCGGAAUCGCUAGUAACGGUAGGUCAGCACACUACCGUGAAUACGUUCCCGGGUCUUGUACACACCG